CCUACGGGAGGCAGCAGUGAGGAAUAUUGGUCAAUGGGCGUAAGCCUGAACCAGCCAAGUCGCGUGAGGGAUGAAGGUUCUAUGGAUCGUAAACCUCUUUUAUAAGGGAAUAAAGUUCGGGACGUGUCCCGUUUUGUAUGUACCUUAUGAAUAAGGAUCGGCUAACUCCGUGCCAGCCGCCGCGGUAAUACGGAGGAUCCGAGCGUUAUCCGGAUUUAUUGGGUUUAAAGGGUGCGUAGGCGGCCUUUUAAGUCAGCGGUGAAAGUCUGUGGCUCAACCAUAGAAUUGCCGUUGAUACUGGGAGGAUUGAGUAUGUUUGAGGCAGGCGGAAUGCGUGGUGUAGCGGUGAAAUGCUUAGAUAUAACGCAGAACCCCGAUUGCGAAGGCAGCCUGCCAAGCCAUGACUGACGCUGAUGCACGAAAGCGUGGGGAUCAAACAGGAUUAGAUACCCCAGUAGUC
rnacentral:rRNA from 1 species